CAACCAGCUCUAGGUGUGCAUAACAGAGCAUUUUCAAAACCUCACCAGAUGGAGCCCUUAAUAAUGAAAGAAAAAUGAGUUAAGGCGCGCGUUGAAGCACCAUGCGUUUCGUCUCACUCAUACAAACCUCCACAGAGUCUACCGAUUUUCUAUCGAAAAAUGUCGAGCUUGUCUACCGAAACUCGAUUUUCGGACCUGGCAACCCUGUUUGCAUCAUUCAAAAUGGCGGUUUUGAACGGGUCUGUCUUCUGAAUAAGUGUGGUUCACAAGCCUUGUUCACAAAAUAUCCCCCUUAGGCUUUGAAUAUAAAACUAACUUAGUUUUAUAUUCAAAGCCCUUAGGGGUAUGUUCUGUGGCCUUGUUCUAUGGAGUCUGUAAAGAGAAGCCUUCUUUAAAUCGCCCUUAUAUUUGGAUUUUAUUGUAUCUGUUUGGCUGAAGUUUUAAAAUGGUAGCUGCUCGCGAUUUACAGUGUAAAAGCUAUGGGUGGCGACCGUGCCUUGACCGCAAAUGUAGUCAUUCCCAUCGCAGAUAUGUGACUUUGAUAUAAAAGAAACCACCUUGGGAAUAUUCGCCUUCUUAAGUAUUUUGAACGUGAGAUACGUAAGAUAUUGAUCUUAAGGUCUUGCUAAGAUGAUAUAAGAUACCAUAUGACUAAUAAAAUAUAUUUUCUGGUG